GAUGAAGAACGUAGCGAAAUGCGAUAAGUAAUGUGAAUUGCAGAAUUCAGUGAAUCAUCGAAUCUUUGAACGCACAUUGCGCCCGCCAGUAUUCUGGCGGGCAUGCCUGUCCGAGCGUCAUUUCAACCCUCGAACCCCUCCGGGGGGUCGGCGUUGGGGAUCGGCCCUUUACGGGGCCGGCCCCGAAAUACAGUGGCGGUCUCGCCGCAGCCUCUCCUGCGCAGUAGUUUGCACACUCGCAUCGGGAGCGCGGCGCGUCCACAGCCGUUAAACACCCCAAACUUCUGAAAUGUUGACCUCGGAUCAGGUAGGAAUACCCGCUGAACUUAAGCACAUCAAUAAGCGGAGGA
rnacentral:misc_RNA from 1 species